rnacentral:pre_miRNA from 1 species
UUUGAGGGGGAUGUUGGCUGGCUCGAUGCACUUACUUAUCAUCUUCCUCAAAAACAUGCGACAUAUACAUACAUAUGGAAGAUCAUAUAUCUAUAAAUAUAUAUUUGUCUUCCAUAUCCCAUAUAUAUAUGUUGAUGAUGGUGGAGUGAUGGCAUCGGACCAGGCUUCAUUCCUCCCAAA